UGGGGAAUAUUGCACAAUGGAGGGAACUCUGAUGCAGCGACGCCGCGUGAGUGAUGAAGGAAUUCGUUUCGUAAAACUCUGUUCUAUGGGAAGAAAAGGACUGUACCAUAGGAGAAAGCUCCGGCUAAAUACGUGCCAGCAGCCGCGGUAAUACGUAUGGAGCGAGCGUUGUCCGGAAUUAUUGGGCGUAGAGGGUGCGCAGGCGGCUUUACAAGUUGGAUGUGAAAUAUUGUGGCUCAACCACAAACGUGCAUCCAAAACUGCAAAGCUUGAGUUAAGGAGAGGUAAGUGGAAUUCCUGGUGUAGCGGUGGAAUGCGUAGAUAUCAGGAGGAAUACCGGUGGCGAAGGCGACUUACUGGACUUAAACUGACGCUCAGGCACGAAAGCGUGGGGAGCAAACAGG
rnacentral:rRNA from 1 species